AGCGAACGCUGGCGGCAGGCUUAACACAUGCAAGUCGAGCGGGCAUCCUUGUGGUGUCAGCGGCAGACGGGUGAGUAACGCGUGGGAACGUGCCCUUCGGUUCGGAAUAACUCAGGGAAACUUGAGCUAAUACCGGAUAAGCCCUUUUGGGGAAAGGUUUACUGCCGAAGGAUCGGCCCGCGUCUGAUUAGCUAGUUGGUGAGGUUAUGGCUCACCGAGGCGACGAUCAGUAGCUGGUCUGAGAGGAUGAUCAGCCACACUGGGACUGAGACACGGCCCAGACUCCUACGGGAGGCAGCAGUGGGGAAUAUUGGACAAUGGGGGCAACCCUGAUCCAGCCAUGCCGCGUGAGUGAUGACGGCCUUAGGGUUGUAAAGCUCUUUUCUCCGGGACGAUAAUGACGGUACCGGAGGAAUAAGCCCCGGCUAACUUCGUG
rnacentral:rRNA from 1 species